GUUCCCUUUGGUUGGAAACAAGCCAAGUCUCAUAAUUUUCUUCUAAUUUAACAUUUUUAACUAAUUUUAUAACUUUUUGUGGUUUUCCGGUAACAUAUGAAAAAAAAAGUAAAGAAAGAUGGCAUACGAGUAAAACCGUAGUGAUAGUGGCUCCGUGAAUUUUGCUUCUAAAGUGCAGCUUUUUAAAAUACCUAAGUGUUUAUUGGGAAAAACUGUGUUGGUCUAAGCAUCCCUUGUUCAGUGAUCCAAGUUUUAGUUGGUGAACUACAGUACUGCAGCUCCAGUGCUAUUUUUAUUGUCUCUUGCCCAAAUGUUUCUUUCGUCGACAGAUCUACGUGAAAUUAAGUCAGUUGUUGCUGCUGUUUUUACUAAAAAAUUCCUCUCUGAUAUAGCAGAAAAAGUUCUCGCAAUGGUUGAACAGCGUUUUGAUGAUAGAUUGAAAACUCAAAAGGCCGAAAUUGAGAAAAUUAGAGGUGAUCUGAUAAAGGUACAAAAUGAAAACGCCGCUCUUCGACAACAAAUAGAUCAACAAGAGCAAAGUGUGCGCAAUGACAACAUCCGUAUUUUUCAAAAUAAUCAUCCAUUACUCUCAAAGAGACUUAAGUAUAUGAACAAAGGAGGGAGUUACGCGUUUCGCCGUAUUAGGGCAUGAUCAGACAUAAAUAAAAUUAUUAAAAUUAAAUGAUACAGGACAGAACGGCAAUUAACAGAAAAGACAUACCUAUCUAAAUACAAAAGCCACACACUAAAAUCAAUAAAAAAUAUAAAAUAAAAUGAGUUUACACUAUCGUGUAUCGUUAUUGACUAAAAUAUGGACUUUAAAACGCCAAAUAUCACAUCCAGUACAUAUUAUCUUAAAAGGAAUAAAAACAAAUACAAUUAUGAAAGGACAAAAAAAAUAAAAAAGAUUUUUUCAAAAAAUGUUUUAAUUUGAUAGGGAUCGAACCACAGACCACUACUGGAUCCGAAGUCCGAAGCAUAUACCUUAUCGCCAAAUCGGGGUAAUGUUGUAGUGUGCGAAUAAUUACAUUAUAUGAGACAAGAUUAAAUUUUUAUUUUUUUA